CCUCACACCAUGGGCAGUAGAUAGACAGCAAGAAAGGAAGGCUUUUGUGGAGUUUUGAAGAAUUUCCAAGGUGGUAAGUUUGUGUUUUUUAUUAUUGUUUAAUUAAAGUUUGUAAGCAUGUUAUGAGUGUUUGAUUUAUGGAGAAAUUUUUGAGGUUUGAUGUUGAAUGGGGAUGUGUACUUUUGGCAGCCAUGGAAACACUUUGAAGGCAGUUUAUUUUUGCUUGUAAAUGGUGAAUUAAAGGAUUGAUUAAAUGUAUAUUGUGUAGGAAAUCAUUUGGGUAAUUAUACUUAGUAUAUGUAAAUGUGUAUUGAAAUUUGAAGCUUGGAAAUUAAUGGAAUGUAAAUGUAUCAUUGCGGCAGU
rnacentral:misc_RNA from 1 species